AAAUAAAUAAAUAAAUAAAUAAUAAUAAUAAAAUUUGGUUCUUUUACAAAAAUUAUAAAGUAGAAACUCAUACUCAUGAGUCUCAAAUAUAUUAUUAAAUGUUUUGAAAGAAUGUUUCAAUCCUAAAGCAUAUUCUUACACUGCAAAAGGAUCACAUAUCUUUUGUUCAUCUUAGCUAUUUUACUGAGCUACUGUACUCAUUUGUCUUGGAUUCAGACUGCCUUUGCAUUUGGCAAUAUCUUCAUGCAGUUUAGUGGUUUUGGUCAUUUGGCAAAGAGCUUGGUGUUUUUGGCUUUAACAUUUAAAUCUGUUUGCUUAAUUUUAGGUGCCCAUGCUUCAUUUUCAGGUAUUGCAGUCUCCAAUAUGGAUGUUUUGCUUUUGAUUGCUUUACCUCUUGUUUGAUUUGGAUUUUGUCCAAAAGAUAGCAUUGAUCAGAGAAGAAUGAAUCCAUUGCAAUCUAUCAUCUAUUGGGUUAUACACAUCACUACAAGAAAUUGACUUUUGUUGGCUGACUUUAAUUAUUAUCUUUUGAAUCAUAAACUAAUGUCUACCAGUUGUGUGGCCCAUUGUCUAAUCUUCAACAAAUGAAUUAGCUGUGAUAAUCUGCAGUACAUGAGCCCACUGGAUGAACAUGUACUCAAUGUACAGUGGGAGACUACAACUUUGGGUAGUUUGAUGAACUACUAAACUUGCAUCCUCUUAAUUAUCAGUUCAUCACUGCAGAUUUCAACAUCAAAAGCAUUCCAAUUCAGUCUUUCUUCAUUUGAAUCUCUUACCUGCAGAAAAUGAGAGAUGGGUCUUGAUUACAUUUGCAUUUCAUGGGCUUUUCAGGAGUGAAGGCAUUCUACAUGGCAGAUUUCUUUGUAGCAGAUUUGUGGGUUCCACUUGAGUAUCAUGCUAUCGACAGCUUACCAUGUUAUGUUGAAUGAGUAACAGCUUACCAUGUUCUAGCUCUUUGCUUUUGUAUAAUGUUUGUGUAUAAACCUUUUUGAAGGGCUUUGUGUCCAGAAAUGCGAUGCCCUGGUACUGACUAGCUCCUGUAUGCAAAAUGCUGCAAAAUAUGGGAAAUUUUCAUUUUAAUGAUGAUGAUUAUGAUGAUUUAUUUGCUAUUGCACCUGGUUA